rnacentral:tRNA from 3 species
GGAUGUGGCUCAGCUUGGUAGAGCGCUGCGUUCGGGACGCAGAGGUCGCAGGUUCAAAUCCUGUCAUCC